UACGGAGGGGGCUAGCGUUGCUCGGAAUUACUGGGCGUAAAGCGCACGUAGGCGGUCUUUUAAGUCGGUGGUGAAAUCCUGGAGCUCAACUCCAGAACUGCCUUCGAUACUGGAAGACUUGAGUCCGGGAGAGGUGAGUGGAACUGCGAGUGUAGAGGUGAAAUUCGUAGAUAUUCGCAAGAACACCAGUGGCGAAGGCGGCUCACUGGCCCGGUACUGACGCUGAGGUGCGAAAGCGUGGGGAGCAAACGGG
rnacentral:rRNA from 1 species